CUCUUCUUCAACAAUUUGUAGUGUUUCCUCUUCUACCGUAACAUUUAAAGGCAUUGAACCAACAGAAUAGUUUUAGUACAAAGUACUGUUAAAGGUAAAAAUAUGCUUUAAUAAGUUUUUACGGGUCAGCCAAAUUCUUUACCGUGUAAAAAACAUUAAUGUAUGCUUAAUUAAGUCGUUUGUUGAGUUGAGAAUAUGCUCGGGUCUUUGAAUUUAGGGAAGGGCCUAACUUGGAAACAUUGGAGGCAAUGAUUUUCUAUUUUUUCAAAUUAAAUGACUAAAAUAGACAAGCGAUGAAGCCAAUCCCGAUCAUCGCAGUCUGACUUUUUUGUUUCUAACUCUUGGUUCAAUUAAUGUAGGAUUAUAUUUUAAUAGUUAAAAGGAAUUAUUGAUGUUUUUGUUCUUUUAGCAUUAUCACAAUUGAAAGUAUAGCCGUUCUUUUGUUUCCCGAAACAUUGUAUUAGCCUCUUUGAAUUCAGUUUACUCAAAGAGCAUAACGUUAUGCUCUUAACCCGAAGUACUUUCUACCUAUAUUUUCUUUUUCAUUAACUAAAUAGCACAGGGAACUCGAGUUUAAGUGCAUACCACUAAUGUACUGGUUGCUUAAAAUGAUUAUUGCCAAUUUUAAUUUGAGGGUUUCUUCUCCUUAUAUAAUAUUUAAUUUAACUUGAGUUUCAAAUUUGGAAGUAUCAUGCUUCUAAUCCGGCCUUGGUAAUUGUAUUAUUCAUAAUUGUUUGAUUAUAUAUUAUACUUCUAUUGUCACCGUUUGCAAAGCAAAAGAAAAAAUCUUUUUGCACAACGAAGUACAUCAAAUUGGAUUAUAUUAUGGAAUAUUGAUUAAUAAAUACUGUACUCUACAUUGAGAUAUUGUUGUUGUUUGAUACUGGAUGUGUGCAUAUGUUUUUUCCAAAAUGCGUAGUCUUCAAAAGAUGUAUACGCUUCUCAUGAUCACUAUUGAAAUCAAUAGGCUAUAAAAUCAAAAAAUAAAGAGUCC